CCUACGGGAGGCAGCAGUGAGGAAUAUUGGUCAAUGGACGGAAGUCUGAACCAGCCAUGCCGCGUGCAGGAAGACGGCUCUAUGAGUUGUAAACUGCUUUUGUACAAGGGUAAACCUGAAUACGUGUAUUCAGCUGAAAGUACUGUACGAAUAAAGAUCGGCUAACUCCGUUCCAUCAGCCGCGGUAAUACGGUGGCUACAAGCGUUGUCCGGAUUUAUUGGGUUUAAAGGGUGCGUAGGCGGAUUGAUAAGUUAGGUGGUAAAUGUCAGAGUGUAACUCGGGAAAUGCCAGUAAUACUGUAGAUCUAGAGAGUAGAUGCGGUAGGCGGAAUGUAUGGUGUAGCGGUGAAAUGCUUAGAGAUCAUACAGAACACCGAUUGCGAAGGCAGCUAACCAAUUUAUAUCUGACGUUGAGGUACGAAAGCGUGGGGAGCAAACAGGAUUAGAUACCCCAGUAGUC
rnacentral:rRNA from 1 species